UACGUAGGGUGCGAGCGUUGUCCGGAAUUAUUGGGCGUAAAGAGCUUGUAGGCGGUUUGUCGCGUCUGCCGUGAAAUUUCCGAGGCUCAACCUCGAACUUGCGGUGGGUACGGGCAGACUAGAGUGUGGUAGGGGAGACUGGAAUUCCUGGUGUAGCGGUGAAAUGCGCAGAUAUCAGGAGGAACACCGAUGGCGAAGGCAGGCCUCUGGGCCAUUACUGACGCUGAGGAGCGAAAGCGUGGGGAGCGAACAGG
rnacentral:rRNA from 1 species